GACGAACGCUGGCGGCGUGCUUAACACAUGCAAGUCGAACGAAGUGGCGAACGGGUGAGUAACGCGUAAUCAACCUGCCCUUCAGAGGGGGACAACAGUUGGAAACGUCUGCUAAUACCGCAUACUGAAGGGGGAGAUGGCGGCUGAUUGGCUAGUUGGGGGGGUAACGGCCCACCCAGGCGAUGAUCAGUAGCCGGUCUGAGAGGAGGAACGGCCACAUGGGGACUUGGGAACGGCCCAGGACUCUACGGGAGGCAGCAAGGGGGAAUCUUCCGCAAUGGAGGAAAGUCUGACGGAGCAACGCCGCGUGAGUGAUGACGGCCUUCGGGUUGUAAAGCUCUGUUAAUCGGGACGCGGUACCGGAAUAGAAAGCCACGGCUAACUACGUGCCAGCAGCCGCGGUAAUAC
rnacentral:rRNA from 1 species